UGGGGCUUGUUGCCUCCUUGUGGGGAUGGUCCUUGUGGAUUUCCUGGAGGACAAAGAGAGAAGAGAAAGACAGAGUAAAAGCCCACACAAGAUUCACUGAAUAGUUGCAGUAAAUUUUUAUCAGCUUGGGUAACAAGCUGAGUGGGGAAAUACACAAAAAUGGAACAAAGACAUUAAUUUAUUUGCAUUUUCAGUGAAGACAUAGAACUCUGGAGUGGAAAGCUGGGGAAGAACAAAGCAGUUGAGGGCCUCUCAGUAUAAAGAGGAGACAGAAUGAGGAUGCUGCCCAUUUCUGUCAUCUCCCAGCAGGCAUUCCUGGCCGGGGGGAUGAGGCAACACACUCCUGUUGUCAUCUAAGCCAAGCAUCUCUGCCAUUCAAUUUGGUGGCCUGCUCAUGAUGCCCAGAAUCAAGGUUGCACGAAGAGUGCCUAUAUUGUUAGGGGCACUAACAUUAAUCAACUCCUGAAAGGAAAGUUUUGAUAAGAAGACACUGGAGAACUGAUCCACUCAUAAGCAGAAAAAGACAGUCAAAACAGAUUGAGAACGAAUCAGGCUUUACCUGCUAUUAGGGAGGGAGAUUCUUCCUGGCUGACAUCUAGAAGAGAAGCACAGGAUGAUGGGAAAAGUUACAUCUUGAACCUUUCAAGACUCACAAGUGUUCUACAGGGAAAAGGGUCUUCUCAUGACACCCCAUGCAUCCCCUAAGUUAACUAGUCAGCCACCAUCUGUGAAGCUGCUGGAAGGGGAGGAAGGUGUAAGGGGAGACAGGGUUGUUAUGACAGAGCAACAGCCAUGAACUCAACAUAGAAGAGCCCCUUUUUUCCCUCCCUAGCAUCCCUCAAGACUUAAUGCUAAUUUAGUUCACACAUGCCAGGUACUUCAAUGUGAUACUUUGGUGUUCUUAUGCCCUCCAUUUCCUAUAAAUACAUUGCUUAUGUACACAUGCUUUCUCAAUUGGGGUAACCAGAAGUAAUCACUUCAAUACAAUCUUACCCAUACCACUCCCAGCACAUUGAAAUACUGCGUGUAAGGGAGAGAAAAAUGACAAUGAUUGGCUCUGAUAUUUCUGUAUCUCUAGUUAAACAGAGACAAGUGUUCCAUCCAAUUCUCUGUCUCUGCAGUAUCUCUGAUACUGUGUGUGUUUAUCGCCAUCAUCGAUGCUGAUGCACUGUACAGCAAGGCCACCAUCAUCCCUGUGUACUUACUGAGAUCAGUUUAGGAUCUUCACAGCUGGACUUCCAUGAAUCUGCCUUGCAUUCUCUACUGCAUCCUUCACAGCACAGUUCUAUCUAUAAAUGCAAAUCUUACCUUCUCAUUCCCCUGGAACAAAUUCUUUAUUGGAUUUCAUUGUACAUUAAAUAAAUUAGAAACCCUUAGUGUGGAAUGAGGGUACAACAGGUCUCCUGAUCCUAGGCAUGAAAACUCUGCAGCCCCAUCUGUGUUUUCAUUCUCCUCUCCUCCCCGUAAUUACCAUUAUCACCUCCUAAGCCCCAAGCAGAGUCACCACAUCUUUUCCCUCUUCUGUUUUACCUUCAUUUAAGUUCUGAGCUGAGCUCAGGGCCAGCAAGGCCACUGACAGCAGAAUCAACAGCAUCUUGCAGGAGGCUCUGGAGUCACUCCCAACUCUGUGCUGGGAGGAACGUGGCAACUCCCUUUAUAAAGAGGAGAAGAACAAUGGCACCUUUGAGCUCCACACUGGGUGGGCCUCACCACCUCAGAGACCUUGAGGUUUGUUGCCUCCUUGUGGGGGUGCUCCUUGUGGAUUUCCUGGAGAACAAAGAGAGAAGAGAAAGACAGAGUAAAAGCCCAUACAAGAUUCCCUGAAUAGUUGCAGUAAAUUUUUAUCAGUUUGGGUAACAAGCUGAGUGGGGAAACACACAAAAAUGAGACCAAGACAUUAAUUUCUUUGCAUUUCAGUGAAGACAUAGAACUCUGGAGUGGAGCGCCAGGGAAGAACAAAGCAGUUGAGGGCCUCUCAUUAUAAAGAGGAGACAGAAUGAGGAUGCUGCCCAUUUGUCUGUCAUCUCCCAGCAGGCACUCCUGGCCAGGGGGAUGAGGUAACCCACUCCUGCUGUCAUCUAAGCCAAGCAUCUCUGCCGUUCAAUUUGGUGGCCUGCUCAUGAUGCCCAGAAUCAAGGUUGCAUGAAGAGUGCCUAUAUUAUUAGGAGCACUAACAUUAAUCAAUUCCCGAAAGGAAAGUUUUGAUAAGAAGACACUGGAGAACUGAUCCAUUCAUAAGCAGAAAAAGACAGUCAGAACAGAUUGAGAAUGAAUCGGGAUUUACCUGCUAUUAGGGAGGGAGAUUCUUCCUGGCUGACAUCUAGAAGAGAAGCACAGGAUGAUGGGAACAGUUACAUCUUGAACCUUACAAGACUCACAAGUGUUCUACAGGGAAAACAGACUUCUCACCACACCCCAUGCAUCCCCUAAGUUAACUCAUCAGCCACCAUCUGUGAAGCUGCUGGAAGGGGAGGAAGGUGUAAGGGGAGGCAGGGUUGUUAUGACAGAGCAACAGCCAUGAACUCAACAUAGAAGAGCCCCUUUUUUCCCUCCCUAGCAUCCCUCAAGACUUAAUGCUAAUUUAGUUCACAAAUGCCAGGUACUUCAAUGUGAUAUUUUGGUGUUCUUAUGCCCUCCAUCUCCUAUAAAUACAUUGCUUAUGUACACAUGCUUUCUCAAUUGGGGUAACCAGAAGUAAUCAUUUCAAUACAAUCUUACCCAUACCACUCCCAGCACAUUGAAAUACUGCGUGUAAGGGAGAGAAAAAUGACAAUGAUUGGCUCUGAUAUUUCUGUAUCUCUAGUUAAACAGAGACAAGUGUUCCAUCCAAUUCUCUGUCUCUGCAGUAUCUCUGAUACUGUGUGUGUCUAUCGCCGUCAUCGAUGCUGAUGCACUGUACAGCAAGGCCACCAUCAUCCCUGUGUACUUACUGAGAUCAGUUUAGGAUCUUCACAGCUGGACUUCCAUGAAUCUGCCUUGCAUUCUCUACUGCAUCCUUCACAGCACAGUUCUAUCUAUAAAUGCAAAUCUUACCUUCUCAUUCCCCUGGAACAAAUUCUUUAUUGGAUUUCAUUGUACAUUAAAUAAAUUAGAAACUCUUAUUGUGGAAUGAGGGCACAACAAGUCUCCUGAUCCUAGGCAUGAAAACUCUGCAGCCCCAUCUGUGUUUUCAUUCUCCUCUCUUCCCCGUAAUUACCAUUAUCACCUCCUAAGCCCCAAGCAGAGUCACCACAUCUUCUCCCCCUUCUGUUUUACCUUCAUUUAAGUUCUGAGCUGAGCUCAGGGCCAGCAAGGCCACUGACAGCAGAAUCAACAGCAUCUUGCAGGAGGCUCUGGAGUCACUCCCAACUCUGUGCUGGGAGGAACGUGGCAACUCC
rnacentral:lncRNA from 1 species